UAAAGGGAGCGCAGGCGGUUGAAAUAGUCUGAUGUGAAAGCCCACGGCUUAACCGUGGAAGGUCAUUGGAAACUGUUCAACUUGAAUACAGAAGAGGUGAGUGGAAUUCCAAGUGUAGCGGUGAAAUGCGUAGAUAUUUGGAGGAACACCAGUGGCGAAGGCGACUUACUGGUCUGUAAUUGACGCUGAGGCUCGAAAGCGUGGGUAGCAAACAGGAUUAGAUACCCUGGUAGUCCACGCCGUAAACGAUGAGUGCUAAGUGUUAGGGGGUUUCCGCCCCUUAGUGCUGGAGUUAACGCAUUAAGCACUCCGCCUGGGGAGUACGGCCGCAAGGCUGAAACUCAAAGGAAUUGACGGGGACCCGCACAAGCGGUGGAGCAUGUGGUUUAAUUCGACGCAACGCGAAGAACCUUACCAACUCUUGACAUCUUCUGAUCACCCUAGAGAUAGGGCUUUCCCUUCGGGGACAGAAUGACAGGUGGUGCAUGGUUGUCGUCAGCUCGUGUCGUGAGAUGUUGGGUUAAGUCCCAUAACGAGCGCAACCCUUAUUGUUAGUUGCCAGCAUUCAGUUGGGCACUCUAGCGAGACUGCCGGUGAUAAACCGGAGGAAGGUGGGGAUGACGUCAAAUCAUCAUGCCCCUUAUGAGUUGGGCUACACACGUGCUACAAUGGACGGUACAACGAGUAGCGAUCCCGCAAGGGUUAGCGAAUCUUAAUAAGCCGUUCUCAGUUCGGAUUGUUCUCUGCAACUCGAGAGCAUGAAGCCGGUAU
rnacentral:rRNA from 1 species